rnacentral:rRNA from 1 species
CCCUAUGGGGUGCGACCCUGAAGGAUGUCACGGAGAUGGAAAUACGGGAAAGGAUAACCCGCAUGCGCUACAUCGAUGAAAAAGAACUGGAUACCCUGGACACGCUGGAAGAGGACAUCAAGAAGGAAAUCGGCAAGCUGAUGCCGGCAGGGGGUGAGGUCCAUGUUGCCUAAGGAGUAUCGAACCAUCACCAACCUAUCCGGUCCGCUGAUGGUUGUCGAUAAGGUGAACGAGGUUCGCUACGACGAGUUGGUCGAGAUCGAGCUGGCGUCCGGUGAAAGAAGAAGGGGGCGCGUUCUCGAAAUCACGACGGACAGGGCCCUUGUGCAGGUUUUCGAGGGUACGACCGGUAUCGACAUCGAAUCCACGAAGGUUCGGUUCCUCGGCAAGGUGCUUGCGCUGCCGGUGAGCCGGACAAUGCUGGGCAGGAUAUUCAACGGAAGGGGAGAGC